rnacentral:misc_RNA from 1 species
CAGAGUUCUACAACUCCCAACCCCUGCGAACCGUACCCCAGUUUGUUCUCGUUGCCUCCUGGCGGCGAGCCCUCUGAACCUUUUUUAUCUCAACCAGCCCGUCUGAGCAAACCAAACAAAUGAAUCA